rnacentral:lncRNA from 1 species
CCUCCACUCGCCGUCGGGGCCACCACCACCUCCCACCGCCCAAGGAGCCCCGGUUUCUCCUCCCCGGUGCUUCCGGGCCCGGUCUGCCCGGGUGAAAGGUCCCGCAGCGCCCGGAUGGAGGCGGUGCCGCCAUACCCUAUAUAAGCGCCCCGCCGCCGCCGCGCCCUCCUCUGCCCCCGCCGCCGCCGCCGGUACCGCCGCUACCUCCUGGCUCACCGCUGUUCGCUGGGCUCCGCGCCGCCCCUCGCCCGGGAAUAAGUCGGUCAGGAAGGCUCCGCUGCCGCCAUGGUGAGGCCGGAGAGGGGAGACGGGGUGGGAGGAGGGUUGCCGCCGCCGCCGUCUCUGGGUGUGCUGGCCCGGUAGCGUGGCCGCCAGGCCUGGCCGCCCGCGUGUGCCCCGCCGGUGCCGGCCCCUCAGCCGUCGCCUGGGCCUCGGCGCCGGGGAGAGGAGGUGCCUGAGGGACCUGGGGCAGCUCCUGGAGGCCCUGACAGCCAGCCUGGGGACCGGCUUUCCCCCCCGGCUUCUCCAGCGCCGGCCGGCCCGCAGCAGGCCGCGGCGGGGAGCGGGGCCCGCGGCGGCCGGGAAGGGCGGGCGGAGGGGAGAGGCGCCCGGACCGGGGAGGGAAGGAGAGAAGGGGGGGGGGCGGCCGGGCCUCACCCCUCUUUUGCCCUAAAAACCGGCUUUCGGCCCCUUCCUCCCCUCCACUCGCCGUCGGGGCCACCACCACCUCCCGCCGCCCAAGGAGCCCCGGUUUCUCCUCCCCGGUGCUUCCGGGCCCGGUCUGCCCGGGUGAAAGGUCCCGCAGCGCCCGGAUGGAGGCGGUGCCGCCAUACCCUAUAUAAGCGCCCCGCCGCCGCCGCGCCCUCCUCUGCCCCCGCCGCCGCCGCCGGUACCGCCGCUACCUCCUGGCUCACCGCUGUUCGCUGGGCUCCGCGCCGCCCCUCGCCCGGGAAUAAGUCGGUCAGGAAGGCUCCGCUGCCGCCAUGGCGUUUAAAGAUACUGGCAAAGCACCUGUGGAACAAGAGGUAGCAAUUCACCGCAUUAGAAUUACUUUGACAAGUCGCAACGUCAAAUCACUGGAGAAAGGUGAGUGAUGAUUUUUUUUUCUUUCCCAACUGAGGUAGCUUGUUGGGUCGUGAAUGAUCUAUACGAUAUAACGUCUUGCGAAAUAGAACGUAUCGAACCCAGUUGUAAUUAAAGAUGUUAGCCUUUGCCUGUUCUGUAUGUGACUUGGCUAACAAAGUCAACCCAGAGCGCUUCCUAACGCUGAUGAGUAGAUUCUAAUUUAAUUUUUAAUGGAAGCUAGCAUUUGGGGUUUUUCAGCGUGCUGUAAACUUCACGUCGUAAUGACUCACUUCAGAGAGCGCAGCUUCUUCCCUUCAGUUCUUGUGGGCCUUUCCGUUGUUGCUACGUGAACAUAGAAGCACUGAAAGGCUCUGGUUUCUUGAUUGAUAUUUUGUCACUUUUUUUUAAAAAGAGUUUAGUUUAGAACUCUUAAUAUUCUUCUAAGAAAUUAUUUAAUCUGGUUUAGGAACUGGCUUUGCCAGUGUUUUAAUCAUAUCAUGUGAGAGUUGUGGAACCACUGUUUAAUGCAGGAUCUUCAGGCUGAUAACAGCUUAAAUGUACCUUAAACUUGGAGUAAUGGCUUUUUGCCUGCUGUUGUAACGUGAUUUUGCUCGCCGCAGCGUAAGGCUUCCACUCGUGUGUGGUUGGCUAUGAGGAUAACCCUUGGAAUGAAUGGCAGUGAUCACUUCAUACGCUAUUCUGAGCCAACCUCUUGUUUGAAAUCUUCACUUAAGAAAACAAGCAAAAAAAAAAGUACUCACAAACCUGUUUUUUUUUUUUUUUUUUAAAAAGGUGAGGUGAAAAGCAGUACUACUAAAUUGAGAGAGACCCAGUGUAAAGAGAUAAUGACUUCACAAAGUGCUUUGACACUUGAGGCAACCGUUCAGUACAAAACAUGUCAAACAUGGAACGGGCUCAUCUCUCCUUCAAUUUAUUUUAAUCAUUAAUUAUUUUAAAUUGAAUGUAGGGGAAGGGGUGUUAACAUCAGUAGAAUAGAUCUUAAGUAACUUUCCAAUGAAUGACAUGGAUACCAUACAGAAUUUUUAGGUGGACCCAUUUGAUUGUGGAUUCGUCAACUAAAUAAUUCCCUGUGUCUAUGGUUUUUCCUCAGACUCUGCGAAUCACGACCAGGAAAACACCUUGUGGGGAAGGUUCCAAGACCUGGGAUCGUUUCCAAAUGCGUAUCCAUAAGCGGCUCAUUGACUUACACAGCCCUUCUGAGAUCGUCAAGCAGAUCACUUCCAUCAGCAUUGAACCAGGUGUAGAAGUUGAAGUUACUAUUGCCGAUGCCUAAAUGACGGUCAUCGUUGAAUAAAGUUGAUUUGCAAAUUUUCA